AAAGAUUAGCCCACUGUACCAGAACUUCUGUCACUGCCUUGUUCCUUUUAUUAACCAUCCUCCGAUCCAUAAUCGCCACCGGUUCCACAAGAAUUCGGCCCUCGUUAUUGCAAAUUGGAGGAUCAAUCAUAGCUACCACUUGAUUACCCACUUUCUUCUUCAAUUGCGACACAUGAAACACCGGGUGAAUUUUUUAUCCGGACGACAACUUCAAUUUAUGUGCUACUUGGAUAAUUUUUUCCAAGAUCUGAUAAGGCCCGUAGCACUUUGAUGCUAACUUCAGAUUCUUCCGUAUUGCUAUCGAUGCAUGUCGAUAUGGUUGCAGUUUGAGGUAUACUCAUUCUCCUUCCUCAAAAGCCCUCUCAACUUUUAGAAUCUGCAUAAAGUUUCAUUCUUUCUUGUACUUUAUUCAGAUUUUCUCGCAACAUUCGACCAAUCACUAGUCUAUCUUUUAACACUUCAUUCACUGAAUUCACCGAGACUGAGCAAUCAAUUCAAAUGUUGGCAGGGGAGGAUCGUAGCCAUAGAGUGACUUAAAAGGGGACAUUUGAAUAGCUGAGUGGUAAGUCGAGUUGUACC
rnacentral:lncRNA from 1 species